CUGAUGUUAGCGGCGGACGGGUGAGUAACACGUGGGUAACCUGCCUGUAAGACUGGGAUAACUCCGGGAAACCGGGGCUAAUACCGGAUGGUUGUUUGAACCGCAUGGUUCAAACAUAAAAGGUGGCUUCGGCUACCACUUACAGAUGGACCCGCGGCGCAUUAGCUAGUUGGUGAGGUAAUGGCUCACCAAGGCAACGAUGCGUAGCCGACCUGAGAGGGUGAUCGGCCACACUGGGACUGAGACACGGCCCAGACUCCUACGGGAGGCAGCAGUAGGGAAUCUUCCGCAAUGGACGAAAGUCUGACGGAGCAACGCCGCGUGAGUGAUGAAGGUUUUCGGAUCGUAAAGCUCUGUUGUUAGGGAAGAACAAGUACCGUUCGAAUAGGGCGGUACCUUGACGGUACCUAACCAGAAAGCCACGGCUAACUACGUGCCAGCAGCCGCGGUAAUACGUAGGUGGCAAGCGUUGUCCGGAAUUAUUGGGCGUAAAGGGCUCGCAGGCGGUUUCUUAAGUCUGAUGUGAAAGCCCCCGGCUCAACCGGGGAGGGUCAUUGGAAACUGGGGAACUUGAGUGCAGAAGAGGAGAGUGGAAUUCCACGUGUAGCGGUGAAAUGCGUAGAGAUGUGGAGGAACACCAGUGGCGAAGGCGACUCUCUGGUCUGUAACUGACGCUGAGGAGCGAAAGCGUGGGGAGCGAACAGGAUUAGAUACCCUGGUAGUCCACGCCGUAAACGAUGAGUGCUAAGUGUUAGGGGGUUUCCGCCCCUUAUUGCUGCAGCUAACGCAUUAACCACUCCGCCUGGGGAGUACGGUCGCAAGACUGAAAC
rnacentral:rRNA from 1 species